rnacentral:rRNA from 1 species
GAUGAACGCUGGCGGCGUGCCUAAUACAUGCAAGUCGAACGGACAGGCGCUGCUCUUGCGGCGCGCUUGAGAGGCGCAGGGGUGAGUAAAACGUGAGUAUACUGCACCUGUAUUUGGGAUAACUCCACGAAACUGGGGCUAUUAUAGGGUAGGAUAUUCUGCAGCACGUGGGGGGAUGGUAAGAUUCGGUGGUUGGGGCUGGAAUCGAGGGUUAUCCGCUUGUUGGUGGGGUAGUGGAUUACAAAGCCUUUGACGGGUAGGCGGCCUGAGAGGGUGACCGGCCACCAGGCUACUGAGAGACGGCGCAGACGCCUAUGGGACGCAGCAGUGGGGAAUCUUGCAGAGUGGGCGGAAGCCUGAUGCAGCGGCGCCGCGUGCGGGAUGACGGCUUUCGGGUUGUGAACCGCUUUCGCCUGUGACGAAGCGUGAGUGACGGUAAUGGGUAAAGAAGCACCGGCUAACUACGUG